CAUUGAUAUUUCAUGAUUUUAAAUUUUCGGAUUCACAUGGAUUUUUCAUCAGAUUGUGUGACAAAGUACAGGAACAUGGAACUUUCAUUUCAACUACUGAAAAACAUCAUCAAAAGAUUCUUUGCAGAGAAGGUACAGCAUAUGGAUGUAUGCCUUGUCUAUGUUAUGGAAAAGUUUUUCAAUGACUUUAUACGGAGAGCUCCGCAAAGAUGCCCUGAGUUUGUUUCAUUAGUCAACGAUCACUGCACUUAGAUAUUAUAGAGAAAGAAAUGACAAAAGAUUGGCUUGUCACGGCGGACUUAUUGGCAGUAUUUUGGACGUGGUGGAUGAUUGUAAAUACACGAUCUCCCCGAAUUGGAAGUUACCAAGAGUAAUGAAUGGAAAAAACCAAUUACCAUGGACAGCUCUCAGCUUCACUUUUUAAAAGAUUUAUCAUGUUGGCCUGUUGAAUAGGAAAAACUCAGAGACAAAGUAAGAAGUAUCGCCAAUGAUACGUUUUUAACAGCUAAACAAACAUCGAGUGGACUAUAUAUAAUGUCUCAAAAAUUAUUGGAUGAGGUCGAUAUCAACCAUUUUUGAUGGACUUAGCCUUACUAACUUGCUGUUAUGUUUUUCAAACUCUUUCAAAUUUAAAAAUAACCGGACAAUAUUUAAUCAAAUAAAUUAUUUUUUAACAUGA
rnacentral:lncRNA from 1 species